GUGAAAAUAUGACUGGACAACACAAAGCAUUGAUGAGCAUUAUUACAGAGCAUUUUAUUUACAGAGGUUUAAUUUCCUAAUAGUAUGUUCACAGUACAAUGCCUUGUAUUUUUUUCCUGUUGUUCAAAUAUUCAGUUAAAGUGCACCAUCUUCUAUCUUCCCUUUGUAAUCCUCUAGAGGGAGGUCUAUGCAAACUCUUCAUUCUUUAUAAACACACCAACAGCAACUGUGAAAUAAUUUUAGACAGGACAACUGACACAGUCUUAUAAAUCUUAGAAAGACUUUGAUCAGAAAUCACUGAACUCCACAAUUUACUAUAGAAUGGAAAAUAUGAUUGUCCGGAGUCUAAUAUUUGUAAUGGCUAUUCAUGGAGUUUGGAGUGAGAUCAAACUGGACUCCCUCUGAGGUGAAAAGACCUGGAGAGACAGUGAAGAUGUCAUGUAUCAUUAGAGGUGGGCGAUAUAUAUCGUUUGCGAUAAUAUCGUCAUUGUUGUUUUGACGAUGUGCAAAUUUCCAUUAUCGAGUAUUUAAAUUACUUCGACAAAAACAAUGAAACGCCCGCGGAAACUCCUCACAUCCAUUAAUACACGGUGCAGCAGCGCUCUCUACAGCAUGGCAGGAUUCAGUCACACAACUAGUGGGCCUCUCGCUAGCAUCCUCCUUGCAACAGUUUAGCAGCGCGUUGCGAUGGUAGAGAGAAAAUGCAAGCACCUCCAGUCCCUGAAGCUACCGGUACUUCAGAUGAUUUAGUGCCGAGACGUGGGCUUCAGCGUUCAGAGCGCUAAGCGCCUUCAGCGGUAAAAAGAUGUCAGCGGAGACGUUUUUUUUAGCGCAGCGCUCAGAGUGCUUCAAGUUGAAAUCUGUUCAACUUUUAACACCGCUGGGCGCUUGGAAAAUGAGUUUUUGAGCGCUCUCAGCGCUGUAAACGCGUUUGGUGGACACAAGUCCAGCUCAGACAAUUCUAAUCACAUUUUAAAGGAUAUCGGCUGAUUAUCGUUAUCGCCAAAAUCCCAAAAAAUAUUGAGAUAUUAUUUUUUGCCCAUAUCGCCCACCCCUAUGUAUCAUAUCCGGUUAUAGCAUGACAAGCGGCUAUUUUUCCUGGAUUCGACAGAGGCCAGGGAAAGCUCUGGAGUGGAUUGGAACAAUUAAUUCAGGUUCAAGCUCUGUUACCUAUUCCAGCUCCUUUCAAAGUCGUUUCAUCAUGACUGAAGAUGUGUCCAGCAGCACUCAGUACCUCGAGGUCAACAGCCUGACAGCAGAAGAUUCUGCUGUUUACUUCUGUGCUCGAGAAACCACAGUGACUGAAGACAGUGGAGCAGCUGCACAAAAACCUCCACAAACAACAAACAGCAGUGUGAUCUUCUUCACUUCUGGGUUUUCUCAUAUAUGGAUAUGAACACAUAUAUAGUGUCACAAGUAAUGUUCAUGUAAAGUCAGUGGAGAGAAAUUAGCAAAUAAAUUAGCAGCUUGAAGCAUAGCAGCCCUUCCUGUUCUUAUAUAACAGUAUGCUGAUGUCACGGGGGGGAAGUUUGAUUUUAUUUAAGCAUGCUUUUACUUUGAAUUUGCUGUGUUUUUGUCUUUAUUAUUGCAUGCUUUUAUUUUGAAGUGUGGUGUGUGUGUUUGUUUCGUUGGUUUUACUUCCCCACCGGAGACAUGCCUUAAUCAAGCGUAAGGACUUACACCUGGGACCCAGAGAGGGAAGUGACUGUUCUUGGAUAAAAAGGACACUAUGGAAGACACCCGGGGCACGAGGGAGGACACGGAGGGCACAACGGGCCGGACAGCAGGAAGCAGACAGAGAGACAGAGCGGAUCAUCGGCCUGGAAGAGGUCUGAAGAGACACCGGAGCAAACACCGACCGCUAGCGGCUAUAAUUGGGAGAAGGUAAAACUUCUCCCUCCCGCGUAAGUCCCGUUUUAGACCGGUGUUUGUGUAGUGUGUAAUAUAUAAAGUUGUGCCUUGUUAAAGGACAUUGACUGGCCCUGAGUUUCCCUCGACAGGCUGCCGAAGAGCGGAGCCAGGUGAAGAGCAGGUGGUCGCCACCAGAGACCCGCGACUGCCGUUGUUGACCUCCCACUCCAUCCGUCCCGCAUUAUUUUAGCUGGGUUUUAGUUGUUUCUGUUCUUUGUUUUAGUUUCUUUGAAGGUUUCAGUUCCUGAGCAGCUGUUUUCCUCUCGAGGCUCUAAGUCGUCUUCAAACAUCUGCAAACAUGGAAACUGUUAAAUGUCUUUAAUGCAAACCUGCAGACAGUUCUCAUAUUAUUUACAUGGUUCUCACUGCUCUCACUGUAUUUCUGUUUGAAGCAGAUACAAUCAGUACAGUCAGUGAGCAAAUUAAUGAAUAAAUAAAUGCUGCGAUAUUACAA